GACCUGUCAGCUCAACUGGUAGAGCACUGCACCAGCAUGGCAGAGGUCAGGGUACAAGUCCCUGUCAGGUCU
rnacentral:tRNA from 1 species